GUUUGUGUAAGUUAUUUAAACUAAAGACCUGUGGAGUCUUAAAUCGAUUUUGUUUCGCCAAAUCC
rnacentral:tRNA from 1 species